rnacentral:rRNA from 1 species
UACGGGGGGGGCAAGCGUUGUUCGGAAUUACUGGGCGUAAAGGGCGCGUAGGCGGCCUGCUAAGUCGGACGUGAAAUCCCUCGGCUCAACCGGGGAACUGCGUCCGAUACUGGUGGGCUCGAAUCCGGGAGAGGGAUGUGGAAUUCCAGGUGUAACGGUGAAAUGCGUAGAUAUCUGGAGGAACACCGGUGGCGAAGGCGGCAUCCUGGACCGGUAUUGACGCUGAUGCGCGAAAGCCAGGGGAGCAAACGGG